rnacentral:rRNA from 1 species
AGUGAACGCUGGCGGCAGGCCUAACACAUGCAAGUCGAACGGCAGCACAGCAGUAGCAAUACUGUGGGUGGCGAGUGGCGGACGGGUGAGGAAUACAUCGGAAUCUACCUUGUCGUGGGGGAUAACGUAGGGAAACUUACGCUAAUACCGCAUACGAACUAUGGUUGAAAGCGGCGGACCGCAAGGCGUCGCGCGAUUGGAUGAGCCGAUGUCCGAUUAGCUAGUUGGCGGGGUAAAGGCCCACCAAGGCGACGAUCGGUAGCUGGUCUGAGAGGAUGAUCAGCCACACUGGAACUGAGACACGGUCCAGACUCCUACGGGAGGCAGCAGUGGGGAAUAUUGGACAAUGGGCGCAAGCCUGAUCCAGCCAUGCCGCGUGUGUGAAGAAGGCC